rnacentral:rRNA from 1 species
UACGUAGGGCGCGAGCGUUGUCCGGAAUUAUUGGGCGUAAAGAGCUCGUAGGCGGCUUGUUGCGUCUGCCGUGAAAGCCCGUGGCUUAACUACGGGUCUGCGGUGGAUACGGGCAGGCUAGAGGCUGGUAGGGGCAAGCGGAAUUCCUGGUGUAGCGGUGAAAUGCGCAGAUAUCAGGAGGAACACCGGUGGCGAAGGCGGCUUGCUGGGCCAGUUCUGACGCUGAGGAGCGAAAGCGUGGGGAGCGAACAGG